AAUCCAGUGAUUGUACUGCGCAUGCGCGCGUUAUGACUUUCAUCAAAGUCAUUACGUCACCGGAACUCGUGUUUUUUCCGUCCGACUGAAGCAUGUUUCCUUCACAUUGAUGGUUUGGAUUUAAAAUUGGCUUAUAUAGGCGUUUCUAGUGGCAUUUUUAGACAGGUGUCAACAGCAUGGCACCGCUGCUGCUCCCGUGUCUUGUUGGUUCCCUGACACGCCAGUUGUCCCGUGUUGCCAGAUGUGCUGCUUUCGGCUCCUUACCUGCAGCAGGUGCACAGAGAUGCAUCUCCACCAUCACAGCUGCAGCGGUGAGAUUCAGAGGAGCCAUCAACCCAAUGUGGGAGCCACCCGGAGCAUUCCUCUCACCUCUGCUUGGACAAUGCCAGCAGCUCCUGUGUGUACAACCAUAUGCUGGCAUGAAGACUAAAACCGCUCUCAAAAGACGCUGCAAAGACUGCUUUUUCGUCCGCCGCCGUGGAAGGCUGUUUGUUUUUUGCAAAUCCCACCCCAGACACAAGCAGCGGCAGGGGUGAAUUAAUUGAGACCUUAAUGUGAGACUGACUGAGACUUGAGAAUCACUCGAAUGGUGUACUGAGCAUGUAAAGAUCAAUAGAGUUUCUAAUAAAUGUUGACAUCCUCAUCUGAAAA